rnacentral:rRNA from 1 species
UACGGAGGGAGCUAGCGUUGUUCGGAAUUACUGGGCGUAAAGCGCGCGUAGGCGGCUGUUCAAGUCAGAGGUGAAAGCCCGGGGCCCAACCCCGGAACUGCCUUUGAAACUAGAUAGCUAGAAUCUUGGAGAGGCGAGUGGAAUUCCGAGUGUAGAGGUGAAAUUCGUAGAUAUUCGGAAGAACACCAGUGGCGAAGGCGACUCGCUGGACAAGUAUUGACGCUGAGGUGCGAAAGCGUGGGGAGCAAACAGG